AGGCUCAGUCGAGCGCCACCCCCUCCACAAAGUGGUAGGAUUAUUUGCGUGAGCCACGGAGCCCUGCGGAGACUCUGGUUUUACUUUCUGCUCACCUAAGAAGCUCCUGCUGUGUCCCUAAGUGUUCCCGCCUCGCCUCUGCCUCUCCCCACACCCACUGCUCCCUAACUUCUCUCACAGGCCCCCAACGGCUUCCUCCUGCGCUGGCGCACGCUCAGGUCUUACCCGCCAGCAGGUGGCGAAACACGAUUUUCUGUCCUCUGCGGCUGAGCCCUAGCGUCCCCUCUUCUCUAAGGCCUUUCGCCUAGUUCCAGCCUGGAUACGCUUCCAUAGCAAAGGGUUGCCCUUGGCUACAGGAGGACGCGGGCUGGCAGGCUUGGUUCCUGGCGAGUUUCUAAGCCCCCGCCUGCGGUCUGAGGCACCGGCUGAACCAUGUCGGAGAUCCUGUGCCACUGGCUCAACAAGGAGUUGAAGGUGUCCCGGACCGUGAGUCCCAAGUCAUUUGCAAAGGCAUUUUCCAGUGGCUAUCUACUUGGAGAAGUUCUACACAAGUUUGAACUUCAGGAUGAUUUUUCAGAAUUUUUGGACAGCAGGGUUUCAAGUGCCAAACUUAAUAAUUUUUCUCGCUUGGAGCCAACACUUCACCUUCUGGGUGUGCAGUUUGAUCAGAAUGUGGCCCAUGGCAUCAUCACAGAAAAGCCUGGGGUGGCAACAAAGCUGUUAUAUCAAUUGUACAUUGCUCUUCAGAAAAAGAAGAAAAGUGGACUGACUGGAGUGGAGAUGCAAACCAUGCAACGUCUGACAAAUUUAAGACUUCAAAACUUGAAAAGUGAUACUUUUCAAGAGAGACUUAGACACAUGAUACCACGUCAAACUGAUUUCAAUCUGAUGCGGAUUACAUACAGGUUUCAAGAAAAAUAUAAACACGUGAAAGAAGAUCUUGCCCAUUUGCAUUUUGAGAAACUUGAAAGAUUUCAAAAACUCAAGGAAGAGCAAAGAUGUUUUGAUAUCGAAAAGCAAUACUUAAACAGAAGACGACAAAAUGAAAUAAUGGCCAAAAUCCAAGCAGCUAUUAUACAGAUUCCUAAACCUGCAUCAAAUCGUACUUUGAAAGCACUCGAGGCCCGAAAAAUGAUGAAAAAGAAAAAAGAGGCAGAAGAUGUGGCUGAUGAAAUUAAGAAGUUCGAAGCAUUAAUAAAAAAGGAUCUCCAAGCAAAAGAAAGUGCAUCCAAGACUUCUUUAGAUACAGCAGGCCAGACAACCACCGAUUUGUUAAAUACUUACUCAGAUGACGAGUACAUUAAAAAAAUCCAGAAGCGCCUUGAAGAAGAUGCUUUUGCACGAGAGCAAAGGGAGAAAAGACGGCGGAAAUUGUUAAUGGACCAGUUAAUAGCCCACGAAGCACAAGAGGAGGCUUAUCGGGAGGAACAGCUGAUUAACCGGCUGAUGCGGCAGUCCCAGCAGGAGCGCAGGAUUGCCGUGCAGCUCAUGCAUGUUCGGCAUGAAAAGGAAGUUUUAUGGCAAAACAGAAUUUUCAGAGAAAAACAACAUGAGGAAAGACGACUUAAAGAUUUCCAGGAUGCUCUUGAUCGAGAAGCGGCUUUGGCAAAACAAGCCAAGAUUGACUUUGAAGAACAAUUCCUUAAAGAAAAGAGAUUUCAUGAUCAGAUUGCUGUGGAAAGAGCUCAAGCUCGUUAUGAAAAGCAUUAUUCAGUAUGUGCAGAAAUUUUGGAUCAAAUAGUUGAUUUGUCCACUAAAGUGGCAGACUAUCGAAUGUUGACAAAUAAUCUGAUUCCGUAUAAGUUGAUGCAUGAUUGGAAGGAACUAUUUUUUAAUGCAAAACCCAUAUAUGAACAAGCCUCUGUUAAGACACUACCUGCUGACCCCUCAAGAGAACAACUUACAGAACUGGAGAAAAGGGACUUGCUAGAUACCAAUGAUUAUGAAGAAUAUAAGAUAUGGAGGAAUACAGCUGACCUCUCAGUGGACAGAAACAUGGUUGGAGAGUGGGCCUUACCAGAAGAAAUGGUUGACAAUUUACCACCCUCCAACAAUUGCAUACUGGGCCAUAUUCUUCACAGGCUAGUUGAAAAAUCUCUUCCUCCUCGAGCGGAAUCAACAACACCUGAAUUACCUUCAUUUGCUGUUAAAGGAUGCUUAUUGGGGAAAACAUUAAGUGGAAAAACUACCAUUUUAAGGUCUCUACAAAAAGACUUUCCUAUACAGAUACUUUCUAUUGACACUCUUGUCCAAGAAGCUAUCCAAGCAUUUCAUGACAAUGAAAAAGUCAGUGAGGUUCUACCAAUUCAGAAAAAAGAUGAAGAAGAUGCUCUACCAGUUCUGCAAGAGGAGAUUAAAGAAAGCCAGGAUCCACAACAUGUAUUUUCAGCUGGUCCAGUUUCAGAUGAAGUAUUACCAGAAACAGAAGGUGAAACAAUACUUAGUGGUAAUGCUGAUAAAACACCAAAAGCUGAAGAAGUCAAAUCAAGUGAUAGUUUCUUAAAACUCACUACACGUGCUCAGCUUGGUGCAAAAUCAGAACAGUUGCUGAAGAAAGGAAAGAGCAUUCCUGAUGUGCUGCUUGUUGACAUCAUGGUAAAUGCUAUUAACAAGAUACCUGUGAAUCAAGACUGUAUCCUAGAUGGUUUUCCAAUGACUUUAAACCAAGCACAGCUUCUGGAAGAAGCUCUUACAGGCUGCAAUAGAAACCUCACAGAAGUGGAAAGAAAAAAAGCACAAAAAUCCACAUUGGCUAUUGAUCCUGCGACUUCCAAAGAAAUACCUCUUCCCUCUCCUGCAUUUGAUUUUGUCAUAUUAUUAGAUGUUUCAGAUACUUCCUCAAUGAGUCGCAUGAAUGAUAUUAUAGCUGAAGAAUUGUCCUAUAAAACUGCUCACGAAGAUAUCAGUCAACGUGUAGCUGCUGAAAACCAAGAUAAGGAUGGAGACCAAAAUUUAAGAGACCAGAUACAACAUAGAAUUAUAGGCUUCUUGGACAACUGGCCUUUAUUGGAGCAAUGGUUUUCAGAGCCAGAAAAUAUUUUGAUAAAAAUCAAUGCUGAAAUAGAUAAGGAAUCUUUAUGUGAAAAAGUAAAAGAAAUUCUUACGACUGAAAUAGCAAAAAAAAAGAAUAAAGUUGAGAAGAAAUUAGAAGAAAAGGAAGCUGAGAAAAAAGCAGCAGCUUCCCUGGCUGAGCUUCCACUUCCUACACCUCCUCCUGCUCCUCCUCCUGAACCAGAAAAAGAGAAGGAAAUUCAUCAAAGCCAUGUGCCUUCAAAAACUCCUACUGCAAAAGGAAAACCUCAAUCAGAAGCCCCGCAUGGUAAGCAAGAAUCUCUUCAGGAAGGAAAAGGGAAGAAAGGUGAGACCGCACUCAAAAGAAAAGGUUCUCCUAAAGGAAAAUCAUCAGGAGGAAAAGUACCAGUAAAGAAAUCACCUGCUGACUCUACAGAUACAUCACCUGUUGCAAUAGUGCCACAGCCACCUAAGCCAGGAUCAGAAGAAUGGGUCUAUGUGAAUGAACCAGUUCCUGAGGAAAUGCCUUCGUUUUUAGUACCUUACUGGGAACUAAUAGAAAAUUCCUAUAUAAACACCAUCAAAACAGUACUCAGGCAUCUGAGGGAAGAUCAGCAUACUGUGCUUGCUUACUUAUAUGAGAUUAGAACAAGUUUCCAGGAGUUUCUAAAGCGUCCAGAUCACAAGCAAGAUUUUGUAGCUCAAUGGCAGGCUGAUUUCAACUCCCUUCCUGAUGACCUGUGGGAUGAUGAGGAAACAAAGGCUGAACUACAUCAACGAGUGAAUGAUCUGCGAGACCGCCUGUGGGACAUUUGUGAUGUCCGGAAGGAAGAGGCAGAGCAGGAGCGGCUUGACAUCAUUAAUAAGAGCUGGUUACAGGACACUCUUGGAAUGACAAUGAACCAUUUCUUUUCCCUGAUGCAGGCAGAACUGAACCGUUUCCAAGAUACAAAGAGACUCCUUCAAGAUUAUUACUGGGGAAUGGAAAGUAAAAUCCCAGUAGAGGACAACAAGAGAUUUACUCAAAUCCCUUUGGUCCAACUGGAUAGUAAAGACAAUUCCGAAAGCCAGCUUAGAAUUCCUCUAGUUCCUCGAAUAUCCAUUUCUCUGGAAACAGUUACACCCAAACCAAAAACAAAAUCAGUACUGAAGAGCAAGACGGAUAACUCCCUAGAAAACGUUGAGUCCAACUUUGAGGCCGAUGAAAAGUUGGUCAUGGACACCUGGCAGCAGGCUUCUUUAGCAGUAUCUCACAUGGUGGCUGCUGAAAUUCAUCAGAGGCUUAUGGAAGAAGAAAAAGAAAACCAGCCAGCAGACCCCAAAGAAAAAUCUCCUCAGAUGGGUGCAAAUAAAAAAGUCAAAAAGGAGCCACCCAAGAAAAAACAGGAAGACAAAAAACCCAAAGGUAAAUCAUCACCUAUGGCAGAAGCAACUCCUGUCAUAGUAACAACAGAGGAAAUUGCUGAAAUCAAAAGGAAAAAUGAACUGAGGGUCAAAAUAAAAGAAGAACACCUUGCUGCCUUGCAAUUUGAAGAAAUAGCCACGCAAUUUCGACUUGAACUGAUAAAGACAAAAGCAUUGGCUCUUCUUGAAGAUUUAGUAACAAAGGUGGUUGAUGUAUAUAAACUCAUGGAAAAAUGGCUUGGUGAGAGGUAUUUGAAUGAAAUGGCCAGUAUAGAAAAAUUAACUGACGUAGCUCGCUAUCACAUUGAAACAUCUACAAAAAUUCAGAAUGAACUUUAUUUAAGCCAAGAAGACUUCUUCAUUAAUGGCAAUAUAAAAGUCUUCCCAGAUCCUCCCCCACCAAUACGUCCUCCACCUGUAGAAAAGGAAGAAGAUGGCACCCUGACCAUUGAACAGCUUGACAGUCUUCGAGAUCAGUUCUUAGAUAUGGCACCUAACGGAGACAGGAAGUGGCUUCAUGGAUUACAGGCAGCCCUCCAGAACUUUCUCAAGGGAUAUCCUGCAAUUGUUCGGCAACUGCACUCAGCAGGCAGAGGCAAAAGUGACACCAGUCAAAAGAAACCCAAAGAACUUCUGGAGUCCCUUCUCCAAGCUGACAUUGUUAAAUUUGCCCACUUCUUGUUGGAUGUCAUGAAUGUCCUUAGCAUUCUGUCCUGUGUCAAUAAGAAUAGAAAUUCCUCAAUUGCUGAUAUAUUUGCCACUUUAGAGUCAACGCUGGAAAUGCUCCAAAUGUAUCAAACAAGACUAGGGCCAAAAGAACGCAUGGUGGAUUCAGCCACACACUUUCAUGGUAACUGCCUCAGAGGGAAAGAAAACAUUUCUGCUGUGAGAAACAUUGUUUUAACACAUCUUAUCAAGAGACUUCAAGGCUGUUUCAGAGAUGCCAGCCAAAAUGUGGCGAGGGCUACCGUGAUUGGAAGUUUUAAAUUGUGGCCCACAAAGAUAAAUCAAGAAUUUGGAGAAAAAGAGGUAUCCAUCCUGACUGCACAUUAUGAACCAGUAUUAGAAGCUGCCAAUGUGAAACUUAGUGAAGUGUAUACUGAAUGGAGCAUGUUGAAAUUAGAGAUUUAUGCCAGAUUUCAGAACAUUCGAAAAUUGACCUGGGAUUUUGUGAAUUCCAUUUACUUACACAAGUAUCCAAAUAUCCUGACACUAGUCGACCUAGUGUUGACCCUUCCUGCAAGUUCAGCUGAAGCAGAACGUGGCUUUAGUCAGAUGAAAUGGACCAAGUCACAUAUGCAUGCAAAAAUCAAGGCUGAAAUUAUGACGGAUGUCCUAAUUAUUCAGUUGAAUUCUCCAGACAUUAAUAAUUUUGACCCUAGGAAAGCUAUCCAUUUAUGGAAUGCAAGAACACCAUCUUCAACUGGUGACACAAGAUCUAAUUCAGAUUGCUCAUCAAACUCAGAAAAUGAAAGUGAUUAGCAAUAUGCAAAUGUUGACAUUUUUGUUGCUUAGCAAUGUAGAUCUUUUGCAUAGUAAAAAAUAAAAUAAAAUAAAUGGUUUCCAGAAGCCUGAAAUUUAAAAGUAAAACAGUAACUUCUCUUCACAUCAAACAAAAGGCAUUUGGCUUCUUCCAAACAUACAGAGUAAAAAGCCCAAGAUUGUUUCUUCUAUAGCUUUCUAUCUUCACCUAUGUAUUCAUGUGUUCUUUCACACUCUUUUGGUGGAGCUGUAUGCUGCUACACAAUGGUGUUAUUUUGAUGUCAUUUUUUUUAGUUAUUCCUAAGGGUGACCAGACUAUGAUUACGGUCUGAGUUCCCUUAGGCCUGGCAUACAAUUCAUUAUUUUUCCUCGAUAAUUCUAAGUGAUAGUUGCAUUAGGUAAUUAACUUAGAGUCAAACUGAAAGAGAGCUUCUCUUUUCAUCUGUGAACAAAAUUUAUACGUUUAUAUAAUUAUGUUAUUGCAACCAUAUCACUACAUGCUUUGGCCAUUUAAGUAACAAAGGCAAAUAUUAAAACAGUUUUCACAUUUCAUGCUAAAUCCUCAGGUAAACAAUUCUUAUGUAAACUGUAAGUACUGUCUUAUAACACUUUGUUUUGCACCGUAUCCAUUAGAGAUUGUGGAAAUGUAUUGCAGAUUACAAGAUUUUUAAAAUACUUUGAGCCCCUUCACGGUUUCAAUAGAUUCUAUUUAUGGCUGUAGCUUGAAGAACAUGACUGAUUUAUGUCUGACUUAGCUAAAAACCCACAUAGGAUCUUAUAAACCUCAGUUCACUGAAAAUUCUGCUAUCUGGGAAAAUGUUCUCAUGUCUAUAAAACUGGAUACUCGGGUUUGAUGAAAAAGGAUACAGAAUGUAUUUCUGAACAGCCUGCUGGAUGGCCAAUUAUAUCAAAGAAGAAAGGUUUCACUCUUGCUACCCAGAAAAUUACCUUCCAGAUCUCAAAAUUGUGUAUUUGAUUCGAAGCACUGAGAUUUUAGAAGGAUUAUUGCAUUUCCCUGGAGGUUAGAGGAAAUGAUAAAGUUCAUGUGGACUUUUAGAAAUGCUAAAAACUUCGAUGUAAAAAGAAAUCCUUGGGAUAGUGUGUCUAUGUUUCAUUCUUUUUAUUCCUAAAACAAAGAAUAGCUAUGUACUCUGGACCUGAAAGAUCCCUGGAUACACAUUAGGAGUCUCUCCUUGUUCUAGAAGGCAUAAUAGGAAAUAAAGCAUUUACUGACAUUCUGAUCGAUUUGGUGACCCUGAACCUUGGCACAAACAACUUUCCUAGUAGUUGGAUGCACCUUACCCAACCUGAAUUACAGGAAUUAACAUCUUUAUUAACAGUCAACUCCGAGUUCGUGGACUGGCGGAAGUUCCUGUUAGUAACCUCAAUGCCUUGGCCCGUUCCCUCGGAGGAGGAGCUCCUUGAGACCCUUCAGAAGUUCAAGGCUGUGGAUAAGGAGCAGUUGGGCACCAUCACUUUCGAGCAGUAUAUGCAGGCUGGUCUGUGGUUUACAGGAGAUGAAGAUAUAAAAAUUCCAGAAAAUCCUCUUGAACCCCUUCCAUUUAAUAGGCAGGAGCAUCUUAUAGAGUUUUUCUUUAGGCUAUUUGCUGACUAUAAGAAGGAUCCACCCCAGCUUGACUACACACAGAUGCUGCUUUACUUUGCUUGCCACCCAGACACCGUGGAAGGAGCCUACAGGGCCCUCAGUGUGGCUGUUGGAACUCAUGUCUUCCAACAAGUCAAAGCUUCCAUUCCAAGUGCAGAAAAGACCUCCUCAACUGAUGCAGGUCCAGCUGAGGAAUUUCCUGAACCUGAGGGAAAUGCUGCAAGAGAAGAAAGGAAAUUAAAAGACGACAGGGAGAAAAGGGAACAGAAGGAUGAAGAAAUCCCUGAAAAUGCAAACAAUGAAAAGAUGUCCAUGGAAACACUACUCAAAGUGUUCAAAGGGGGAAGUGAAGCACAGGACUCCAACAGAUUUGCCAGCCACCUAAAGAUAGAGAACAUUUAUGCAGAGGGCUUCAUAAAAACAUUUCAAGACCUAGGUGCCAAGAACCUGGAGCCAAUUGAAGUCGCUGUUCUCUUGAAGCAUCCUUUUAUUCAAGACCUGAUUUCAAAUUAUUCAGACUAUAAGUUUCCUGAUAUUAAAAUAAUUCUCCAAAGGAGUGAACAUGUACAAGGAAGUGAUGGAGAGAGAUCACCUUCAAGACAUACAGAGGAAAAGAAAUGAAGACAAAAGAGUGUGAUUUUUUUAAUUCUGCAAUAAAUCUUCCAAAAAUUAAA